ensembl:lncRNA novel transcript
GAGGGGCAGGGUAUGGCAGACUUUUGUCAGUCAGGGAAGUACACAAACGGGGCUGAAAGAAGUGACCCUGAGUGGGGAUUCCCCACUGGUGUGCAUUCUCAGCAGCUAACAUUCAGUGUGGAGAGCAGCACCCUCCCCUCCAGCUUUUGGGAACAGAAAUAGAGGAAGCGUUGCAGGCACAACGUCUCACAUCAGCAGAUCCUCUGGGUUCAAGUGUCUGAGUUUCAUGUCCUCCUUAGAAAAUUUUUCCAACAAUAAAAUUUUUCAUCAUGCUAAAGAAAAAGAACAGCAGCAGAAAAACAGCUUGAGCUGAGCUUUCGCUCGCCAUCCACCACUGCUGUUUGCCGUUGUGCCGGACCCGCCACUGACUUCUAUCCCUCCGGAUCCGGCAGGGUGUCUGCUGUGCUCCUGAUCCAGCGAGGCGCCCAUUGCUGCUCCCGAUCAGGCUAAAGGCUUGCCAUUGUUCCUGCACGGCUAAGUGCCUGGGUUCGUCCUAAUCGAGCUGAACACUAGUUACUGGGUUCCAUGGUUCUCUUCUGUGAUCCAUGGCUUCUAAUAGAGGUAUAACACUCACCUGGCAUGGCCCAGGAUUCCAUUCCUUGGGAUCCGUGAGGCCAAGAACCCCAGGUCAGAGAACACGAGGCUUGCCACCAUCUUGGAAGCGGCCCACCACCAUCUUGGAAGCUGCUAGCCACCAUCUUGGAAGUUCUGUGAACAAGGACCCCCGGUAACAUUUUGGCGACCACGAAGGGACCUCCAAAGUGUGUGGAAAUGGGCACCUUUGACUGAACCAUGUUUCUUGCUCGGUAUUGAAAAAUGACCUCAUUCCUUUAUCUGUGUAUAAGCUGUCAAUCUGCUAUGCUGGUCUCCAGAAAUCUAGUCAGAUUCAAAUCUGCUCCAUGUGUUUCAUCAUUCUGGAACCUGGGACCUGGAAGUGCUCUUCUUAUGAAGAUCACAGGAAAGCAGAUGAGUAAACCAAACUGUGCAAGCACAUUUAAGCCCUGUGCUGCAUCAUGUUUGCUAAUACUCAAUUCAAUAUUAUUGAAAAUGAAUAAGGAAACAAGAUGACAGAAUAAGAUUUGAAUGUUUGGAAUCUUGGGAUCUGACCAAAAUGCUUUAACAAAAUUAGCUAUUUUACUGAAGUGGUGAUAAUUUUUGUCAGAUAUAUGCAAAUAUUUUCUCAAAGGUUUUUUUUAAUAGUUUUUAACUAUCAUUCAUAACAUUUUAGCUUUUCUGAAGAUCUUAAUUUUUAUGUAGGUUAAAUGACUUUUUUUUUCUUUUAUGGUUUGUGCAUUUGGGUUGUUGCAUAUACAGACUAUGCCAUAAAACCCAAGCCAGAUAUUAAUAUUCCUUUGCUCAAAACUUUUUCAUGCUUCCCACAUCCCUCAGAGUAAAAAUGUAAUUCCUCUCAAAGGCCAGCAAAGCCCUUCAUAGUCUGUUCCCUACUCACCCUCCAUAACUCUCUGUCCUCAUUUUCUACUUCCUAAUUUCUAAGCUCCCUCUAGACUACCCUCCUCAUUAUACUUCAGAUAUACCUAGCGUCAACAUACAAUUUUCUAAGUUAAAAACAAGACUCCAAUACAAAUAUGUAGUGAGCACAUUCUAAUUAUUAUUUAGUCAUUAUUGAAGGAACCAUUAGAAUGGUAAAGCUGAUUAAAAGGAGGCUAGGUGAUUAGUAUAAAGAGUCAUAAAAAAAAGAAUGCUGGAAUAAAAUGGCAGAAUUCGAUACCAAACUGGUCAAUAUCCUCAAGUGCAAUGAUAUUGUAACACACAUAUCUUUUUCUAAAAAAAAAAUUAAUCUGUCUAUUUGGGUACCAGAAACAUGCUAUUUUUGUACUUGUGAUAAUAAGCUCUCAUACUUUUUAUUUUUAAGUUCCAGAAUACAUGUGCAGAAUGUGCAGGUUUGUUACAUAGGUGUACAUGGGCCGUGGUGGUUUGCUGCACCUAUUAACCUGUCAUCUAGGUUUUAAGCCCCACAUGCAUUAGGUAUUUGUCCUAAUGCUCUUCCUCUCCUUGCUCCCCACUCCUCAUCAGGCCCCAGUGUGUGAUGUUCUCCUCCCUGUGUCCAUGUGUUCUUAUUGUUCAUCUCCCACUUAUCAGUGAGAACAUGUGGUCUUUGGUUUUCUGAUCACGUGUUAGUUUUCUGAGAAUGAUGGUUUCUAGCUACAUCCAUGUCCCUGCAAAGGACAUAAACUCAUCCUUUUUUAUGGCUGCAUAGUAUAUGUGCCACAUUUUCUUUAUCCAGUUUAUCACUGAUGGGCAUUUGGGUUGAUUCCAAGUCUUUGCUAUUGUGAAUAAUGCUGCAGUAAACAUAUGUGUGCAUGUGUCUUUAUAGUAGAAUGAUUUAUAAUCCUUUGGGUAUGUACCCAGUAAUGGGAUUGUUGGGUCAAAUGGUAUUUCUGGUUCUAGAUCCUUGAGGAAUUGCCACACUGUCUUCCACAAUGGUUGAACUAAUUUACACUCCCACCAACAGUGUAAAAGUGUUCCUAUUUCUCCACAGCCUCACCAGCAUCUAUUGUUUCCUGACUUUUUAAUAAUCACCAUUCUGACUGGCAAUUAUUAAAUCACCAAUGAGAUGGUAUCUCAUUGUGGUUUUGAUUUGCAUUUCUCUAAUGACCAGUGAUGUUGAGCUUUCUUCAUAUGUUUGUUUGCUGCAUAAAUGUCUUCUUUUGAGAAGUGUCUGUUCAUAUCCUUUGCCCACUUUUUGAUGGGGUUGUUUGUUUUUUUCUUGUAAACUUAAGUUCCUUGUAAAUUCUGGAUAUUAGACCUUUGUCAGACGUGUAGAUUGCAAAAAUUUUCUCCCAUUCUGUAGUUGCCUGUUCACUCUGAUGCUAGUUUCUUUU